rnacentral:lncRNA from 1 species
CGCUUUUCCCGGGCGCCGUACCCUGCGGAGCCUCGCAGCGCUACUCCGGGAGCCGCCGUGUCGCCGGGCAGCUGUUUCCUGGUGGUAUUUCUAAGCUGAUACACAGGAUGUUGAAGAGACUAUCUCACAUAAAAAUCUUGAAAAGCUACAGGGCCUUUUUUGCCAGUGAGAACUAAAGCAUGACUAUCAUCCAGGAAGUGAGUGGAUUUUUCCUUCCAUUUCCCUGAAAAACUUGCCGAAUUCCUGAGAAACACAAAAUUUUCUUCUGAAGUUGUUUAAACUCAUAUGAACAGAGAGGAGGACAUUUUUUUAAGCCCUAC